AUGAAGACAUUGAAGAGGAAGAAUACAACAAAGAUAGAUUCCUUUUUCAAGCCUAUUGCUUAUAGCUCUAAUGCAAAUCCAUCAGAGGAGCAACCUGUUGUAGAUGAUAAUUCCAGACCCAAUCCAGUUGAUAUGCACAUUGAUGAUCAUAAUAUUGUGGAACCAUUGGAAAUUUUAGAACAAGAUAGAACUAGAAGCACAAAAUAUGUUACGGAUCCUGGUACACGCCAACAUAUUUGGUAACACCAUCCUGAUAAGCAGGAUGAAGCACGUCGAUUCUAUGUUUUUGAGGGCGCUUAUCAGCCACACAUGAACGAGUAUCCAUAUAAUGGAACAACAAAAAACCGUCACUGAUUCUAGUAUAGUAAUUUCACCAAUUGGCCUUGGCUAGAGUAUUUACUUGUCACACAUCGAACAUAUUGCCUUUAUUAUUUCAUCUUUACGAAAAAACCAACUGGGAAGUGUGCUUCAAGUGCAUUCACAGUAGAUGGAUUUAUAAACUAGAGAAAUGUGAAUGAUGGCAAAGAUUGUGCUUUUGUAACUCACAUGGGCAAAGAUUCCAACUCAGCUCAUAGCUAUGCAGGCCGCUGUUAUGCAAAUCUGAAAAACAGAUUGAACCAUAUUGACAAGGUGAUGGUACAAGUAUGUACAAAAAAGUUUGCAGAUGCAAGGUUAAGACUUAAAGCCACAGUUGAUUCCAUUAGGUGGUUAGCAUUCCAGUCUUGUGCAUUUAGAGGAAAUGAUGAAUCUCCGGGAUCCCUAAACCAGGGUAAUUUUCUUGAGUUGGUAAAGCUUUUGGCUACUUAUAACAAGGUUGUCAGAGAUGUUGUCUUGGAAAAUGCUCCAGAAAAUGCCAAGUACACCUCACACCCCGUUCAACAAGAAAUCCUUAGUUUACUUUCCAGAAAAGUGCAGAAAAAUAUUAGAGAAGAAAUUGGCAAUAGCAAAUUUUGUAUAAUGGUGGACGAGUCUAGAGAUGAAUCUAGAAGAGAUCAGAUGGCACUGGUGAUUCGGCUUGCUAAUAAAGAAGGGUACAUAUAUGAGCGCUUCCUUGACAUCAUACAUGUUAGUGACAUUGCUGCGUUGACUCUCAAGGAGGCAAUUUGUACUGUCUUAGCAAAUAAUAACCUGAAUUUGCAAGAUAUCAGAGGACAAGGAUACCAUUGCGCAAGUAACAUGCGAGGGUGGAAUGGAUUGAAAGCUCUAAUAUUGAAUGAGUGCCCUUAUGCUUAUUAUGUCCAGUGCAUGGCUCAUCAGCUCCAAUUGGCUCUUGUUGUAGCAUCAAGAGAGGUACACGAGGUACAUAACUUUUUUCAGCAUGCAAAUUUUGUGAUAAAUGUUGUCAGCGCAUCGUCUGAAUGGAAUGAUGAGUUAUUAGCUAAUCAAGCCGCUGAAAUCGCGCUUCUACAAAGUGUAGCAAAUGGUCGUUCAGUCACAAGAUAUUCUCGUGGAGAUGCAGUGGGUGCCCUAAAGAUGAUUAUCUAUUUUGAUUUUGUAUUCAUUCUGCACCACAUGGAGAAAAUCAUGAAGAUCGCAGAUGUUCUAUGUCAAAUGCUCCAAAGGAAGUCUUUGUAUAUUUUAAAUGCAUUAGAUUGUGUUUCAAACACAAAGUAUCUACUUGCUGAACUAAGAGAAGAUGGUUGGGAACCACUUCUAGAGGAGGUUAAAUCUUUUUGUCUGAAGCAUGAUAAUGACAUCCCCGAUUUUAGUUCCAACAACACCACAACACUUCACCACUAUAAAGCAGAUGUAUUCAAUGUUGCCAUAGAUCAGCAGUUGGUUGAGCUGAAUGAUCAGUUCAGUUUUCAAAGCACUGAGUUAUUGAGGCUUAGUGUAUCUCUAAAUCCAGACUACUCCAUGGUUGAUAGACUAUUGUGGUUGAUUUACUCUCCCAGUUUCAAUGGCAACCACUGAGUGAGCCUUUUUUCUAUGAAACUAGACAAGACACGUCUUCAAGGCAAAAUGGGUGAUGAGUUUCUUCGACAUUACAUGGUUGUCAACAUUGGAAAGGAAAUAGUUGCAAAAGACACAGCUGAUGAGAUUAUCCACAUUUUCGACGAUGGUACUCGUAGAGCUGAAUUUCAAUUAAUAGAGAUGUAA
rnacentral:rRNA from 1 species